AAGCUGUAUGAAAGGAGAGGUUAGCAUGCCCCUUGACAAGGAUGGAAGAGGCCCUCGGGCCUGCACAACAUGCAGAUGGUUAAGGCAUUGCACCUACUUCAUGGCAUCUAGCCAUCAUUUUUA